UGAGGAAUAUUGGGCAAUGCCCGCAAGGGUGACCCAGCAACGCCGCGUGGAGGAUGAAUGUCGUAAGAUUGUAAACUCCUGUUAGAGGGGAAGAAUAGUACCGGUUGGACCGGUAUAUGACUGUACCCUCAGAGGAAGCCCCGGCUAACUACGUGCCAGCAGCCGUGGUAAUACGUAGGGGGCAAGCGUUGUCCGGAUUUACUGGGUGUAAAGGGCGCGCAGGCGGGAUAAAAAGUCAGUGGUGAAAUCCUACAGCUUAACUGUAGAACUGCCUUUGAUACUUUUAUUCUUGAGUUCGGGAGAGAGAGACGGAAUUCCAGGUGUAGUGGUGAAAUACGUAGAUAUCUGGAAGAACACCAGUUGCGAAGGCGGUCUCUUGGUCCGACACUGACGCUGAGGCGCGAAAGCGUGGGGAGCAAACA
rnacentral:rRNA from 1 species